UUGCUUUGCCAGCAUAUCUACUAAAAUUGGAACGCCACAGAAAAGAUCAGCGUGACCCCUGCGCAGGAAUGACACGCAAAAAAAGAAAAAAAAAGCAUAGACUG